rnacentral:lncRNA from 1 species
GUGGUUCAGAGUGUCAGAGUUUAGGUGGUUAAGGGUGUCAGAGUUUAGGGGGUUAAGGGUGUCAGAGUUUAGGUGGUUCAGGGUGUCAGAGUUUAGGUGGUUCAGGGUGUCAGAGUUUAGGUGGUUCAGGGUGUCAGAGUUUAGGUGGUUCAGGGUAUCAGUGUUUAGGUGGUUAAGGGUGUCAGAGUUUAUUAAGGGCAUCAGAGUUUAGGAGGUUAAGGGUGUCAGAGUUUAGGGGGUUAAGGGUGUCAGAGUUUAGGUGGUUAAGGGUAUCAGUGUUUAGGUGGUUAAGGGUGUCAGUGUUUAGGUGGUUAAGGGUAUCAGAGUUUAUUAAGGGUGUCAGAGUUUAGGUGGUUCGGGGUAUCAGAGUUUAGGUGGUUAAGGGUGUCAGAGUUUAGGGGGUUAAGGGUGUCAGAGUUUAGGUGGUUCAGGGUGUCAGAGUUUA